UACGGAGGAUGCGAGCGUUAUCCGGAUUUAUUGGGUUUAAAGGGUGCGCAGGCGGAGGUGCAAGUCAGCGGUCAAAUUGCGGGGCUCAACCCCGUACUGCCGUUGAAACUGCAUCCCUUGAGUGCGCGAGAAGUAUGCGGAAUGCGUGGUGUAGCGGUGAAAUGCAUAGAUAUCACGCAGAACUCCGAUUGCGAAGGCAGCAUACCGGCGCGCAACUGACGCUCAUGCACGAAAGCGUGGGUAUCGAACAGG
rnacentral:rRNA from 1 species